rnacentral:lncRNA from 1 species
ACGACAUUAGGGGUGCGUUUGGUUCGCACUAUGAAAGAUUAUUAGGAGUAAAAAGAUAUUCGAGAAUCUUAUUUGUAUUCAUUCUAUUACUAAGAAUGUAGUAUUUUGGUGUUUGGUUCGUACGGUCAUAUUAUUUAGUCAUGUUAUUUAAGAUUACAAAAAAUAUUCAAUUAAUUUAUUUAUUUUUUAAAUUAAUUUUUUAAAUAAUACUAUAAAAAAUUUCAACAUCUUUUUAGAAAAAAGAGAGAGAGAAUAUAGGUUAGAAAGAGAGAGUAUAAUUAAAGAAAUAGGAGGCCGCCGCCGUCGCCGAUGCCGCCGGGCUCNGGAAGAGAAAUAGAGUCGAUGUUAGAGAGAAUGAGAGGUUGAGAUUUUAGAAAAAAGAGGGAGAGAAAUAGCUUAGUUUAGAGAGAGAAAAAGAGUUGAAGUUUAGAUAGAAAAAGAUAAGUUUAGAGAGAGAUGAGGUUAGAGUGUAAAGAAAAAUAAUACCAACUAACCGACGGAUGAGAAAAAAGAAAGAGAUUAGACAUAUUAUAAUUACUCCAAUCCAUUAAUAUAAGGAUACCCACCCUCCUUCAAAGGAAUGAGAUUAAUACUUUGAAAUGCAUCUCAUUCCCAAGUAAAUCCAGUAUUACCAACUAGAUUACUUAAUGCGUUUAGCCAAAUACCGUCAUAUUUUUUAAUUCCUAUUGGAUUACUAUGAAUCUUAAAAAGAUAGCACGAACCAAACGCACCCUAGGUUCAAUGACAUUCCAAUCCAAGUGGUCACCCUACUACUAUAUUUUUUAACCUAUGUUCAAUGACACUAUAUUCAAUAACAUUUCCCAGCUUGAUUCACUCGACUCUGGAUUUAAUGACAUUCCAAUCAUAUUCUUUCUUUAUCUUAGUUUUUCACACCUAUGAUUCAUAAUUUCCAUAGCAUCUGGUUCUUGUUGAGUUCUCUAAUGCCCCUACAGAAUAUCGACUUUGUUCAAUGUCCGCACCUAGGCAUACAUAUACAUGCCUAUAUGUUUU